ensembl:lncRNA
UCAUCUGGAAUGAAUCAUCUCUCUCUAACGGCAUUCAGUAAACAGAGCAGAUGAGUGGAGAUGUUGUCCUUUAACUGGUAAGAUAAUGAAGUACUGUGGGAUCUGACUUCCGGGCCGGCCAGGGCAGGUUGGAGUAAGUUCGGCCCAGCGCAGGGAGCUGCAGUGUGGGGCAGGGCGCCAUGGCAGGUGCCUGUGUCAGCAGUACUGCCGGCCAAGGGGAGAGGUCAAUCUCACACCUCCAGCAGCUGUCAGGUAUUGAGAGGAGAAGGGGGGGCUGCCCGCUGUUGCGCCGCCGUUCGCCACGACACACGCCCACCUCCGAGUCACAUCUGGUGCGGGAGCGAGCGCUCCGAUAA